GACGAACGCUGGCGGCGUGCUUAACACAUGCAAGUCGAACGGAAAGGCCCUGCUUUUGUGGGGUGCUCGAGUGGCGAACGGGUGAGUAACACGUGAGUAACCUGCCCUUGACUUUGGGAUAACUUCAGGAAACUGGGGCUAAUACCGGAUAGGAGCUCCUGCUGCAUGGUGGGGGUUGGAAAGUUUCGGCGGUUGGGGAUGGACUCGCGGCUUAUCAGCUUGUUGGUGGGGUAGUGGCUUACAAAGGCUUUGACGGGUAGCCGGCCUGAGAGGGUGACCGGCCACAUUGGGACUGAGAUACGGCCCAGACUCCUACGGGAGGCAGCAGUGGGGAAUAUUGCACAAUGGGCGGAAGCCGGAUGCAGCAACGCCGCGUGCGGGAGGACGGCCUUCGGGUUGUAAACCGCUUUAGCCUGUGACGAAGCGUGAGUGACGGUAAUGGGUAAAGAAGCACCGGCUAACUACGU
rnacentral:rRNA from 1 species